rnacentral:lncRNA from 1 species
CUUCAGAAAAAACGCCGUAACUCCAAUUAAGACUUUGCAUUUUCUCUCCCAAAGUACUGUUCAAUUACGAGAAAAUCUGAUCAUUAUGAUGAUGCGUUUUCUAAAUGCGAAUUCUCAAUAGUAUUCUACAGUUAUUUUAGAAUUUAGAAGGAUAAAUGAUCGUUCGUCUUUAGUAAAACAAUCUUGUCGUUAAAACGCUGACAAAAUCUAGGAUGGAGUUACAGUGUUUUUGCUAAGGACGGCAGUUCUUCAUUUAAAUUUUCAAAGACCCUUCAAUUAGGCCUUCAACAUUUCAGCAAACAAAGAACCGUCAACAGAGCCAAUAGUCACUAAACCGGACGUAACAGAUGAGGAAUCUCAAUCGAUCAGCCCGAGCAGGCCGAUCCCAAGUUCGACGACGGAAGAAGAACGCAAAUCUGAAGAAAGCUCCGUGGGACCGAGUGAACCUGAGACCGAGUUUGUUUCGAGUAUCGUCAGUGUUAUCGAAGGGCCUCAAGACCACGAAAGCGAAGAUGAGGAAGAGUAUGAAAGAGACUCGAUCUUCAGCAGCCCUGGGGACUUCGAAGAAGACUCGAUCGUCGAAUCCAGCCGCGUAGAGGAGGACCCCGAACCAUCCGACUCAUACUCCUCCGAAUUCGUGGAGAACACCCCCGCCUUAGCGACGGCCUCCCCCAAGUUCUCGACGGUCGUCUCCGUCCAAUCGAAGGUGGCCGAGUCCUCCCCCCAGGUGGCCGUAUCCUCCAGGGUCUCCGAGGCCAGCUCCGUCAAAAUUGAGGCCCAGGAGCCCGCGAGCACCGAGGCCACCUCCGAAGAGGUCCCCGCCAUCCCCGCCAUCAGCGCCAACAACAUCGAGAACAAACCGGAGUAUGACUUCCUCUCCAGGCAGCCUACGGAGAUCGUCGACGAGACUUAUGAGGUUAUCGAUUUGAAACCAAGUGCAAUCAAAUAUCCGAAUAAAGCUCGUUCAGUCAACCACGACUUGAAAUCGAGGGGAAUAGGAAACAAUUACAAUGAUGGAUACCAACCAGUCGGUGUGAUCUCGAGCAUGGGCGGCACGGUCGUGAAAGAGGGCGUGACGACCGUCCACCAACCAACGUGAUCGGCACUUUCGUUUCAGGCAAAUACGCGCAGGUCCUCCAGAGCACCUCGCACGUCUACCAGCCGGAGGAACCGGCGCCCCUCCCCGAAAAGAAGCAGAAGAUCAAGCCCAGCGCCACCGCCCGAAUCCUCAAGACCUCCGCCCCGAACCUGGCCAAGAAGCAGCCCGCCCUCGAGGCGUCCCCCGUCAGCACCCUCGACGAGGAUAGCGCACUACCCCUCGAAGCUCUCUUUAGGUGAGGAUCAUAUUUUAUACGGGAUUUUUGAAUUUAGUGCCUUGACGUUGUGGUGAUGCAACCUGCAUUACAUCGGCGCCUUCGGUGAUGCAAAAUGCAUUACAUCGGCUCCUUAAGAUAUCCAACACGCAUAACAUUGGCGUCUCGGUUAUGCAAAAUGCAUGACACCACUCCUGAAGAGAUGCAACUCGCAUUACAUUGGCGCCUU